GUGCCAGCCGCGGCGGUAAUACGUAGGGUACGAGCGUUGUCCGGAAUUAUUGGGCGUAAAGAGCUCGUAGGUGGUUGGUCACGUCUGCUGUGGAAACGCAACGCUUAACGUUGCGCGGGCAGUGGGUACGGGCUGACUAGAGUGCAGUAGGGGAGUCUGGAAUUCCUGGUGUAGCGGUGAAAUGCGCAGAUAUCAGGAGGAACACCGGUGGCGAAGGCGGGACUCUGGGCUGUAACUGACACUGAGGAGCGAAAGCAUGGGAGCGAACAGGAUUAGAUACCCUGGUAGUCCAUGCCGUAAACGUUGGGCACUAGGUGUGGGGGCAUUCCACGUUCUCCGCGCCGUAGCUAACGCCAUUAAGUGCCCCGCCUGGGACGUACGGUCGCAAGGC
rnacentral:rRNA from 1 species